rnacentral:rRNA from 1 species
CUGACGAGUUUGAUCAUGGCUCAGAGUGAACGCUGGCGGCGUGCUUAACACAUGCAAGUCGAACGGACUUAAGGGGCUUGCUUCUUAAGUUAGUGGCGCACGGGUGAGUAAUAUAUAGCUAACCUGCCCUUUAGUGGGGGACAACAGUUGGAAACGGCUGCUAAUACCCCAUACUCCUUCUGAUCUUAAGGUCAGUUGGGAAAGAUUUAUCGCUAAAGGAUGGGGCUUUAUUGUAUCAGUUAGUUGGUGGGGUAAUGGCCUACCAAGACAAUGACGCAUACCUGGUCUGAGAGGAUGAUCAGGCACACUGGAACUGAGACACGGUCCAGACUCCUACGGGAGGCAGCAGUGGGGAAUAUUGCACAAUGGAGGAAACUCUGAUGCAGCAACGCCGCGUGGAGGAUGACGCAUUUCGGUGUGUAAACNCCUUUUAUAAGGGAAGAUAAUGACGGUACCUUAUGAAUAAGCACCGGCUAACUCCGUG